UACGGAGGGCUAGCGUUGUUCGGAAUUACUGGGCGUAAAGCGCACGUAGGCGGACUAUUAAGUCAGGGUGAAAUCCCGGGCUCAACCCCGGAACUGCCUCUGAUACUGGUAGUCUUGAGUUCGAGAGAGGUGAGUGGAGUUCCGAGUGUAGAGGUGAAAUUCGUAGAUAUUCGGAGGAACACCAGUGGCGAAGGCGGCUCACUGGCUCGAUACUGACGCUGAGGUGCGAAAGCGUGGGGAGCAAACAGG
rnacentral:rRNA from 1 species